AACGAACGCUGGCGGCAGGCCUAACACAUGCAAGUCGAGCGCACCCUUCGGGGUGAGCGGCGGACGGGUGAGUAACGCGUGGGAACGUGCCCUUCUCUGCGGAAUAGCCUCGGGAAACUGAGAGUAAUACCGCAUACGCCCUUUGGGGGAAAGAUUUAUCGGAGAAGGAUCGGCCCGCGUUGGAUUAGGUAGUUGGUGGGGUAAUGGCCCACCAAGCCGACGAUCCAUAGCUGGUUUGAGAGGAUGAUCAGCCACACUGGGACUGAGACACGGCCCAGACUCCUACGGGAGGCAGCAGUGGGGAAUCUUAGACAAUGGGGGCAACCCUGAUCGAGCCAUGCCGCGUGAGUGAUGAAGGCCUUAGGGUUGUAAAGCUCUUUCAGCUGGGAAGAUAAUGACGGUACCAGCAGAAGAAGCCCCGGCUAACUCCGUG
rnacentral:rRNA from 1 species